UCUCUGGUAGUAUCAUUGAAGAUUUCUGUUCUGAUAAGUGUAGUUCCAGUGCUGAAAUUUCUUACAAUAUAGUAUUUAUAUAGAAUUAUUAGGUUCGAGAAUUAUCUAGACUUGGUGAUUCAGGAGUAGCACAAAGUACAAGGAAAAUGCUUUAUAAGGUUCUGGGCAAUGAAAUUGCACAAAAAUAUUCUUGGGAUGGGGCCAAACAGAAGAGAAGUUUGAAAUCAUUGUUAUUGGCCAAAAGCAAUUUUAGACUCCAUGAAAGGUCAAUUUCAAGAGUC